rnacentral:rRNA from 1 species
UACGUAGGGUGCAAGCGUUGUCCGGAAUUAUUGGGCGUAAAGAGCUCGUAGGCGGUUUGUCGCGUCUGCUGUGAAAACCCGAGGCUCAACCUCGGGCCGCAGUGGGUACGGGCAGACUAGAGUGCGGUAGGGGAGAUUGGAAUUCCUGGUGGUAGCGGUGGAAUGCGCAGAUAUCGAGGAGGAACACCAAUGGCGAAGGCAGAUCCCUGGGCCGUAACUGACGCUGAGGAGCGAAAGCAUGGGGAGCGAACGAGGA